ACUCCUACGGGAGGCAGCAGUAGGGAAUCUUCCACAAUGGGCGCAAGCCUGAUGGAGCAACACCGCGUGAGUGAAGAAGGGUUUCGGCUCGUAAAGCUCUGUUGUUAAAGAAGAACACGUAUGAGAGUAACUGUUCAUACGUUGACGGUAUUUAACCAGAAAGUCACGGCUAACUACGUGCCAGCAGCCGCGGUAAUACGUAGGUGGCAAGCGUUAUCCGGAUUUAUUGGGCGUAAAGAGAGUGCAGGCGGUUUUCUAAGUCUGAUGUGAAAGCCUUCGGCUUAACCGGAGAAGUGCAUCGGAAACUGGAUAACUUGAGUGCAGAAGAGGGUAGUGGAACUCCAUGUGUAGCGGUGGAAUGCGUAGAUAUAUGGAAGAACACCAGUGGCGAAGGCGGCUACCUGGUCUGCAAC
rnacentral:rRNA from 1 species